GAUGAACGCUGGCGGCGUGCUUAACACAUGCAAGUCGAACGGAAAGGCCCGGCUUUUGUGGGGUGCUCGAUUGGCGAACGGGUGAGUAACACGUGAGUAUACUGCCCUUGACUGUGGGAUAACUUCAGGAAACUGGGGCGAAUACCGGAUAGGAGCUCCUGCUGCACGUUGGUGGUUGGAAAGUUUCGGCGGUGGGGGAUGGACUCGCGGCUUAUCAGCUUGUUGGUGGGGUAGUGGCUUACCAAGGCUAUGACGGGUAGCCGGCCUGAGAGGGUUACCGGCCACAUUGGGACUGAGAUACGGCCCAGACUGCUACGGGAGGCAGAAGUGGGGAAUAUUGCACAAUGGGCGGAAGCCUGAUGCAGCAACGCCGCGUGCGGGAUGACGGCCUUCGGGUUGUAAACCGCUUUCGCCUGUGACGAAGCGUGAGUGACGGUAAUGGGUAAAGAAGCACCGGCUAACUACGUG
rnacentral:rRNA from 1 species